ACCUACGGGGCGCAGCAGUGGGGGAUAUUGCACAAUGGGGGAAACCCUGAUGCAGCGACGCCGUGUGGGCGAAGAAGUAUUUCGGUAUGUAAAGCCCUAUCAGCAGGGAAGAAGAAAUGACGGUACCUGAGUAAGAAGCACCGGCUAAAUACGUGCCAGCAGCCGCGGUAAUACGUAUGGUGCAAGCGUUAUCCGGAUUUACUGGGUGUAAAGGGAGCGCAGGCGGCACGGCAAGCCUGAUGUGAAAGCCCGCGGCCCAACCGCGGGACUGCAUUGGGAACUACCGAGCUGGAGUGCCGGAGAGG
rnacentral:rRNA from 1 species